UAGAAGAGGCUGUGCAGCUUAUUAGAAGGAAGAGGAGGAAGUUUCUAUGGCUUUUGAUUAUGCGCAGACUUCUUUUCCCCUCCCACUACAUACUGAUUUUGAUAAACUAGAAAGCAUGAAAUUCUAUGCCUGGUCUUCAGGUAGGUGUGCUCAAGUAUGGACGUCUAACUCAUAAAACAGUCUGUGAUUAUUUGUGCACCAAGUUACGAAGUGAUCAGUGGACAUGAUAUUAGUUCCGCCUGCUGGAAGUGCACUGCUGCACAGUGCAGAGGCCAGGACUGAAACUGACAGGCAAUUAAGGGAGCUCUCUAGAGGGGCCUCAUUCUGACAGAUCUGAGUACUUUGGAAAACUUUUCAGCAAAACUUUAUAAGAAGAAGUGAUCACAAGUAAAGUAUCCUGAUGGAUUAUAGAAAUUCAGAUUUUAAUGGAGUAUUUGGAUUGCAGAGAAGCAUAUCUUCUGUUCUGCUUGCUUAUCCAGUUUGUCAUUGAGGCUAACACUGAAGUGUGGCUGAGCACCAUAGAGAAAAAUUCUUCUGCCUAAAAUAGUGACCAGAUAUUGUGUUUGGGGUUAUAAACUACUGUGUGGACAUUUGGAUUUACAAUUAACUUGUUGGCUAGAAUAAAUCGACCACAGCAGUGUUCUAACUGCAUGGGACCCUAGCAAUUGGAAAGAGAGGAGUCAACAUUAUACAGUAUCAAUGGUUGGAACAUGGAUCAGUUAUAAAUAUAACAAAAUGACACAAACAAGUAAUAAAGAAGUUGAGCUGAAGGAAAACAGAAGGCUUCAAAAAUCAAAAGAUUUAAGAAAUAUUUCAGAACAAAAGGAAUUUGCAGCUCAAGAUUAGAAGUUCACCCUAGACCAACCAACCACAAAAAAUUAUGCUGGGGCCUUGGAAAGGAAUCUAACAUGGAGCAUCAGCACAGGGUAAAGGGCAGGCUCAGCCUACACCGGCAGCCCUGGGGACAAGUCUGGGCAAACUUUUGGUAGGACACUAAUUCAUCAUAAGAUACCUAUGAAGUGGAAUAAUGAUACAUUUGAUCCAUUAGAAAACCAGAUUACGAAGGUUUUGAAACAGAAAAUCAGGACAUUGAAGGUGCAAAAGGUAAAAAUACAGACCUGAGACCUUUGUACAUGGGCAUAUUUUGUUAAAAUUAAUGUUUCUGACUUCACAAUAUCAAUGUAUUAAAUAAAUCAAAGAAAAACUGAUCAGUUGUUAUUAAAGAAUCCUUCGUCAACCA